AUGAACGCUAGCGACAGGCUUAACACAUGCAAGUCGAGGGGCAUCAUGAGGUAGCAAUACCUUGAUGGCGACCGGCGCACGGGUGAGUAACGCGUAUGCAACCUGCCUGAUACCGGGGUAUAGCCCAUGGAAACGUGGAUUAACACCCCAUAGUACUUUUAUCCUGCAUGGGAUGUGAGUUAAAUGUUCAAGGUAUCGGAUGGGCAUGCGUCCUAUUAGUUAGUUGGCGGGGUAACAGCCCACCAAGACGAUGAUAGGUAGGGGUUCUGAGAGGAAGGUCCCCCACAUUGGAACUGAGACACGGUCCAAACUCCUACGGGAGGCAGCAGUGAGGAAUAUUGGUCAAUGGACGAGAGUCUGAACCAGCCAAGUCGCGUGAGGGAAGACUGCCCUAUGGGUUGUAAACCUCUUUUAUAAGGGAAGAAUAAGUUCUACGUGUAGAAUGAUGCCUGUACCUUAUGAAUAAGCAUCGGCUAACUCCGUGCCAGCAGCCGCGGUAAUACGGAGGAUGCGAGCGUUAUCCGGAUUUAUUGGGUUUAAAGGGAGCGUAGGCGGAUUGUUAAGUCAGUUGUGAAAGUUUGCGGCUCAACCGUAAAAUUGCAGUUGAUACUGGCAGUCUUGAGUGCAGUAGAGGUGGGCGGAAUUCGUGGUGUAGCGGUGAAAUGCUUAGAUAUCACGAAGAACUCCGAUUGCGAAGGCAGCGUACCGGCGCCCAACUGACGCUGAAGCACGAAAGCGUGGGUAUCGAACAGGAUUAGAUACCCUGGUAGUCCACGCCGUAAACGAUGCUCACUGGUUCUGUGCGAUAUAUUGUACGGGAUUAAGCGAAAGUAUUAAGUGAGCCACCUGGGGAGUACGUCGGCAACGAUGAAACUCAAAGGAAUUGACGGGGGCCCGCACAAGCGGAGGAACAUGUGGUUUAAUUCGAUGAUACGCGAGGAACCUUACCUGGGUUUAAAUGGGAAAUGUCGUAUUUGGAAACAGAUAUUCUCUUCGGAGCGUUUUUCAAGGUGCUGCAUGGUUGUCGUCAGCUCGUGCCGUGAGGUGUCGGGUUAAGUCCCAUAACGAGCGCAACCCUUACCGUUAGUUGCUAGCAUGUAAUGAUGAGCACUCUAACGGGACUGCCACCGUAAGGUGAGAGGAAGGCGGGGAUGACGUCAAAUCAGCACGGCCCUUACACCCAGGGCUACACACGUGUUACAAUGGCCGGUACAGAGGGCCGCUACCAGGUGACUGGAUGCCAAUCUCAAAAGCCGGUCGUAGUUCGGAUUGGAGUCUGUAACCCGACUCCAUGAAGUUGGAUUCGCUAGUAAUCGCGCAUCAGCCAUGGCGCGGUGAAUACGUUCCCGGGCCUUGUACACACCGCCCGUCAAGCCAUGGAAGCCGGGGGUGCCUGAAGUCCGUAACCGCGAGGAUCGGCCUAGGGCAAAACUGGUAACUGGGGCU
rnacentral:rRNA from 1 species